rnacentral:rRNA from 1 species
UCGGGAAUAUUGGACAAUGGGCGAAAGCCUGAUCCAGCAAUGCCGCGUGAGUGAUGAAGGCCCUAGGGUUGUAAAGCUCUUUUACCAGGGAUGAUAAUGACAGUACCUGGAGAAUAAGCUCCGGCUAACUCCGUGCCAGCAGCCGCGGUAAUACGGAGGGAGCUAGCGUUGUUCGGAAUUACUGGGCGUAAAGCGUACGUAGGCGGUUAUUCAAGUCAGAGGUGAAAGCCCGGGGCUCAACCCCGGAACGGCCUUUGAAACUAGGUAGCUAGAAUCUUGGAGAGGUCAGUGGAAUUCCGAGUGUAGAGGUGAAAUUCGUAGAUAUUCGGAAGAACACCAGUGGCGAAGGCGACUGACUGGACAAGUAUUGACGCUGAGGUACGAAAGCGUGGGGAGCAAACAGGAUUAGAUACCCGAGUAGUCCCUGAGCGGGCUGGCAAGGCGCAU